UAGGGAAUCUUCCACAAUGGACGCAAGUCUGAUGGAGCAACGCCGCGUGAGUGAAGAAGGCUUUCGGGUCGUAAAACUCUGUUAUUGAAGAAGAACGUGUGUGACAGUAACUGGUCAUGCAGUGACGGUAUUCAAUCAGAAAGUCACGGCUAACUACGUGCCAGCAGCCGCGGUAAUACGUAGGUGGCAAGCGUUGUCCGGAUUUAUUGGGCGUAAAGCGAGUGCAGGCGGUCUUUUAAGUCUGAUGUGAAAGCCUUCGGCUUAACCGAAGAAGGGCAUCGGAAACUGGGAGA
rnacentral:rRNA from 1 species